AUACGGAGGGUGCAAGCGUUAUCCGGAUUUAUUGGGUUUAAAGGGUGCGCAGGCGGACCUGUCAGUCAGUGGUGAAAUCCCGGGGCUCAACCCCGGAACUGCCAUUGAUACUACAGGUCUUGAAUACGGUUGAAGUAGGCGGAAUGCAGCAUGUAGCGGUGAAAUGCAUAGAUAUGCUACAGAACACCGAUCGCGAAGGCAGCUUACUAAGCCGAUAUUGACGCUCAGGCACGAAAGCGUGGGGAGCGAACAGGAUUAGAAACCCCGGUAGUCC
rnacentral:rRNA from 1 species